rnacentral:rRNA from 1 species
GAGUUUGAUCCUGGCUCAGGACGAACGCUGGCGGCGUGCCUAAUACAUGCAAGUCGAGCGAGUCUCUUCGGAGGCUAGCGGCGGACGGGUGAGUAACACGUAGGCAACCUGCCUCUCAGACCGGGAUAACAUAGGGGAAACUUAUGCUAAUACCGGAUAGGUUUUUGGAUGCAUGAUCCGAAAAGAAAGAUGGCUUUCGUCUAUCACUGGGAGAUGGGCCGUGCGGCGCAUUAG